GGGCUCAUCGUCUAAUGGAUUAGGACAGAAACCUUCUAAGUUUCCGAUGUAGGUUCGAAUCCUACUGGGCUCA
rnacentral:tRNA from 1 species